UACGUAGGGGGCAAGCGUUGUCCGGAUUUAUUGGGCGUAAAGAGCGUGUAGGCGGUUUGGUAGGUCCGCUGUGAAAACUCGAGGCUCAACCUCGAGACGCCGGUGGAAACCAUCAGACUAGAGUCCGGAAGAGGAGAGUGGAAUUCCUGGUGUAGCGGUGAAAUGCGCAGAUAUCAGGAGGAACACCAAUGGCGAAGGCAGCUCGCUGGGACGGUACUGACGCUGAGACGCGAAAGCGUGGGGAGCAAACGGG
rnacentral:rRNA from 1 species